GACGAACGCUGGCGGCGUGCCUAAUACAUGCAAGUUGAGCGCUUAAGGUUGGUACUUGUACCAACUGGAUGAGCAGCGAACGGGUGAGUAACGCGUGGGGAAUCUGCCUUUGAGCGGGGGACAACAUUUGGAAACGAAUGCUAAUACCGCAUAAAAACUUUAAACACAAGUUUUAAGUUUGAAAGAUGCAAUUGCAUCACUCAAAGAUGAUCCCGCGUUGUAUUAGCUAGUUGGUGAGGUAAAGGCUCACCAAGGCGAUGAUACAUAGCCGACCUGAGAGGGUGAUAGGCCACAUUGGGACGGAGACACGGCCCAAACUCCUACGGGAGGCAGCAGUAGGGAAUCUUCGGCAAUGGAAGAAAGUCUGACCGAGCAACGCCGCGUGAGUGAAGAAGGUUGUCGGAUCGUAAAACUCUGUUGGUAGAGAAGAACGUUGGUGAGAGUGGAAAGCUCAUCAAGUGACGGUAACUACACAGAAAGGGACGGCUAACUACGUG
rnacentral:rRNA from 1 species